UACAGAGGGUGCGAGCGUUGUCCGGAAUCACUGGGCGUAAAGGGCGCGUAGGUGGCCUGGUAAGUAGGGGGUGAAAUCUCGUGGCUCAACUGCGAGACGGCCUCCUAGACUGUCAGGCUCGAGCAGAGUAGAGGCAGGUGGAAUUCCCGGUGUAGCGGUGGAAUGCGUAGAGAUCGGGAAGAACAUCGGUGGCGAAGGCGGCCUGCUGGGCUCUUGCUGACACUGAGGCGCGACAGCGUGGGGAGCAAACAGG
rnacentral:rRNA from 1 species